rnacentral:rRNA from 1 species
AUUGAACGCUGGCGGCAGGCCUAACACAUGCAAGUCGAGCGGGGGUAGCAAUACCCUAGCGGCGAACGGGUGAGGAAUGCUUGGGAAUCUGCCUGGUAGUGGGGGAUAACGUUCCGAAAGGAACGCUAAUACCGCAUACGUCCUACGGGAGAAAGGGGGGGAUCUUCGGACCUCUCGCUGUCAGAUGAGCCCAAGCCGGAUUAGCUAGUUGGUGGGGUAAAGGCCCACCAAGGCGACGAUCCGUAGCUGGUCUGAGAGGAUGAUCAGCCACACUGGAACUGAGACACGGUCCAGACUCCUACGGGAGGCAGCAGUGGGGAAUAUUGGACAAUGGGCGAAAGCCUGAUCCAGCCAUGCCGCGUGUGUGAAGAAGGCCUCGGUGUAAGUACGACUUACUACCUACGUGUACGAAC